GUACCCCGUCUUGUCCUUGCUCAGUUCACCUACCAUUACGGGGCUCCCCGCGUGUUACCUUGCGUGCCUCUCCUCCGUGCCCCUCUCGUGUCCGCGUGUGGCCGUGUCACCGAGCGCCCCGGGUGGCCCCGUGCCCGCUCGCCCCGCUCCGAGCGCUGCGGCUC